UCGCGGGCGACUGCGAAUCUAGAGGAAGCCCGAGACAAAGCGCUGGCUUGACGAACAGGAAGCGGGUACGAGGCAUGGCGACUGGGUAAGAUAUCCAUAAUCACUGAAGCCCGAAACUUGCACCGACGUCGUUACGUAUAUCCGACAGGCAUGAGCGUGAAGGUGGGGGUG
rnacentral:ncRNA from 1 species